CUUCCCACUUACCUCUCUACCACUUUCUGUUUUAAGUGUUCAAUUUCACAGUGUCUUUAAAACAUUAGUAGAUGAUGCAGGCAAUGUAAGGGAGGUGGGAAAAAGAUAAGCUUUUAAAGUACAGAACCAAACCUGGUAUUUUGUGCCUGCAGGACCUCACCACUGCUCACUGCAUGAUGCAGAGUGCAGGUACAGAGAGUGCCCACCUCAGCAUGCCUUAAUCUGGAGAAAAAAUGACAAUUCAAAAGAAUACUAUUUUGCUUCACAGAAAAUUUGCCAAUUCCAGAUAUGGAACAAAGUCAUGGAGUGGUACAUGCACAGUGCAAUUUGACUUAGUUUCUGACGAGAAGUAAAAUAAGGAUAAAAGCUACGAGAAAGAAACAUCUGCCAUUUGCAAAACCAAGCAUCUCAGCGGAAAUGAGGGCGAAUCGCGCUCUCCUGGGUGAGCACAGCUCAGACCCUUUCACUGUGCUAUUUCCUGAAAUACUGCUUUCCACAGCACUCUGCACCCAGCCUACGAAAGUGGAAGUAAUCUGAGCUGCACAGUUGACUUAAGCUCUGAUAAAACACUCUGCUGUGUUACUGUCAGCAUGCCAGUAAAUGUCAUUGCUUUUUUCUGGAAUAUACCAUAUUAUAAAACUGUCUGGGGUAGAACUUGAAUCUCCUCACUGGGCUAAGCAGCAGAUGAAGUCCUCCCACCCCUCCUGCAUACCCAUGGCACAGCAGCACUCAGUCCCAACUCAUGUCCACAAGCUCCAAUGGAAAAAUGAGGAUCCAUCAGCCUGUGUGCAGCACUGUGCCUGAUAUGAGAGCUGGGGGGUCAGUGGCCACAGGAGUCUAAGGCCAGAGGAGGAGAAGAAUGUGUGUCCUUCUGCAGCCAGGCCACUUGGACCAAGGCAUCUGAGGAGAUCUCAAGAGUCACAGAGUCUUUUCUAUCUGAAUAAAGCCAUGAAGACAGCUCUCCCUGCUGAGCAACACUGCAGGAGGGAUUUCCUAUGCUGCCCAAGGGGCACCAUGCUGUAUUACUGCAAGGGACAUCACCUUUCGCAGCUGGCUCCUGAGCAGCUGCAUAAUGACAAAAAAGAGAGAGGAAAAUGGCACACAUCAAAGAAGAGGAAAAACAUCUUAGAACACAAAUGUAAACAAGAAGAAAAUGUCAGAUGCUGCCUUGAGAGUAUUUUUCUCCCACGUAUUGAAAGGCUGCAAUGAAUCCUUGUAAUAACCAGGGGCACAGCCUUUAGCUAAGGAGUCCCGUGACCUUAAAGUCAUUCCUCAGCUUCUCUGCAAGUAUGAAAUUUUAAUAAAAUAAAAUAAACCAAAUCCUUAGCUUCUUUU
rnacentral:lncRNA from 1 species